UACGUAGGGGGCAAGCGUUGUCCGGAUUUAUUGGGCGUAAAGAGCGUGUAGGCGGCCAGAUAGGUCAGCUGUGAAAACUCGAGGCUCAACCUCGAGACGUCGGUUGAAACCAUCUGGCUAGAGUCCGGAAGAGGAGAGUGGAAUUCCCGGUGUAGCGGUGAAAUGCGCAGAUAUCGGGAAGAACACCCGUGGCGAAGGCAGCUCGCUGGGACGGUACUGACGCUGAGACGCGAAAGCGUGGGGAGCAAACAGGG
rnacentral:rRNA from 1 species